AGAUUCUAUUUGUAUUUGUAGAU
rnacentral:snRNA from 1 species